AUAGGCCUUUCUCAAAUUAUAUGCAUACUUUACAUUCCAUCACCAGAGAGAGGCUAACAGGGCAUGAAUGUAAACAAAUAAUGUCUGACCUGAUAAGCCCUAGUGUGUUAAACUUACUGGGGAAAUCUCAUUUAUAUUCCACUCUGUUAUUCCAAUUGUAGAUAUGAUUAUACAGUUAAUUUUCAUAAAAUACCUAAGGAUGUGAGUUUAAUAAAGGAAAGGAUUGUGAAAAUAAGAUGGAUGAAAGAACAUUUCAAGAUCAAUAUUUUGCAAUAGUUGCUCGUUUUGAAGCUUUUCAAACAAUAAGAUUAACAAUCAUGGACAUAAAUUCAUAUAUGUCUGAAGAUAAUAGAUGUACCCUGUAGAUGGUUCGACUGGAGUAAUAAUGAACAGACCAGUAUGAUGAACACUAAAGAAGAAGAUUUCAUUACCAGAUGAAAGGAAUUCCACUGGUAACAGUCAUGAACACAAAUUGACAACUGGAAUUUGAAUCGCCUUUGAUUGUAAUAUCUCUUCAUGUCAAUGACAUAACAGAUGAAAAAGAAACUAUUAAACAGCUCAAAAAAGAAUUACAGAAAACUAAGGAAGAAAACAAACAGUGAUAUUGAACGUUUGAUACAAACAAAUUUUCAAAUGUUGACAGUUGUGUUUUUUGUAAUGUUAUACAGGAUUUCCAACAAAAUUUACAAUAUAUUCAUUACAGUUUUCAAUGUUAUAAAACAUCAGCAAAACAUUAAGAGCAAGCAAAACAAUCAGC